UCCCCAGUGGCUCAGGUGGUAAAGAAUCUGCCCGCCAUGCAGGAGACCCAGGUUCAAUCCCUGGGUAGGGAA
rnacentral:tRNA from 1 species